ACAAGGUCUCCGUAGGUGAACCUGCGGAGGGAUCAUUACACAAUAAAAUACGAAGGCCGUUCGCGGCUGGACUAUUUAUUACCCUUGUCUUUUGCGCACUUGUUGUUUCCUGGGCGGGUUCGCUCGCCACCAGGACCACAAUAUAAACCUUUUUUAUGCAGUUGCAAUCAGCGUCAGUAUAACAAAUGUAAAUCAUUUACAACUUUCAACAACGGAUCUCUUGGUUCUGGCAUCGAUGAAGAACGCAGCGAAAUGCGAUACGUAGUGUGAAUUGCAGAAUUCAGUGAAUCAUCGAAUCUUUGAACGCACAUUGCGCCCUUUGGUAUUCCAAAGGGCAUGCCUGUUCGAGCGUCAUUUGUACCCUCAAGCUUUGCUUGGUGUUGGGCGUUUUUGUCCCCCCCCAAAAAGGGGACUCGCCUUAAAAGGAUUGGCAGCCGGCCUACUGGUUUCGCAGCGCAGCACAUUUUUGCGCUUGCAAUCAGCAAAAGAGGACGGCAAUCCAUCAAGACUCCUUCUCACGUUUGACCUCGGAUCAGGUAGGGAUACCCGCUGAACUUAAGCAUAUCAAU
rnacentral:rRNA from 1 species